GACGAACGCUGGCGGCGUGCUUAACACAUGCAAGUCGAACGAAGAGCGAUGGAACCUUGCUUCUAUCAAUCUUCGUGGCGCACGGGUGUGUAACGCGUAAUCAACCUGCCCUUCAGAGGGGGACAACAGUUGGAACCGACUGCUUAUACCGCAUACUAUCCGACCUCGGCAUCCAGGAGGGAUGAAAGGUGUCCUCUAUUUAUAAGCUAUCACUCAAGGCGGGGAUUGCGUCUGAUUAGCUAGUUGGGUGGGUAAGGGCCGAACAAGGCAAUGCUCAGUAGGUCGACCGGGAGGAGGGACCGCCACAAUGGGACUUGGGCAAGGCCCCGACUCCUUCGGGAAGGAGCAGGGAGGAAACUUCCGCAAUGGACGAAAGGCUGACGGAGCAAAGCCGGCUGAGGUAAGACGGCUCUCGGGUUGGAAAGCUCCGUUAAUCGGGGCGAAAGGUCUUCUUGCGAAUAGUUAGAAGAAUUGACGGUACCGGAAUAGAAAGCCACGGCUAACUACGUG
rnacentral:rRNA from 1 species